rnacentral:piRNA from 1 species
ACAUGAAGGCAGAGGGCAGGAAGAUCAG